AAUUUAAUGACAUUCCAUAAGAAUAAAAAUCCAAUAGGACCAAGAUCUUAGCAGUUCACACCCGGUCAGAGGGACAAAAUUGAGAACCAUGCAGAUCAGCAAGUGUGAGUUGCACUCUAAUGAGGAACAGGACAUCUGAAUUGGAACAUUGCAAGGUUUCUCACUGCCCAAGCUGUACCACCGGUAUCACAACAAGUACCAAGACGGAAGAAAUAUGAAGGCCAAGUUAAUAAGUAGUUACUUUAAAUUAAUUUGAAUAGACAUAUCAACAAAGCAUUGAAUGUUCUUUAAACUGCAUAUCUGUAGAAAGAGUGCAGUUCCAUUUCAGAUUCAUCAGCGGGCAAUGAUAUUAAAGCAUACAAAAUUUCACAAAAAAAUUACAAGUAAGAAAUUUUUUUUUCCAAUGGGCAAAUGUAUCAACUUUUAUUGAUAUUUAAUACUUAUACUAGUUCUUAGAAGUUUUCUUGAAAUUAAAUAAAAUUUCCAGUUUAAAGGCCUAUUGUAUACAAGACAAAAAUUUAUAUUUUGAAAUAAAAAUCAUGCGUAGAUAAAUGUUAAUAAAGCUGAUCAGAGGAUUAAGAAAUGAUUUUAGUAUCAUUCCUGGACCUCAUUUUAUAAACAAGUUAUUACUAUUGUAAUCUUGUCACUAUGACAAUUAGCAUGGUAACAGGGCUGAGCAACUAGAACUCAAGGUCUUUAUGGUAGCUGCAAUGGCCUUGGACGAAGUUACCAUAAUUGCAAGUCUUCAUAUAAUGGCUGAAUAAUUAUACAGGGAUAUUAAAUUGCAUUUAUUUUCAUCUUACUUAAAAAAAUUGACAUGGAUUAGCUCUUCAAGAAUAUAUAAAUAGACUAUAUUUUAAAAAAUAGAUUGAAUUCUAGCCACAGUGACAGUAGACAAUAUCAAAUCUCUUUAGGGAGAUUCUGGAAUUAUCCCCCCCCCCUUUUUUUACAUGGAGUGCUUUCACAUUAGUAGAAUAUUUCUUGUCAGCAAAUUUGGAAGGAAUUUACCUCUUUUUUUGAGUGGCAACUUUGGUGGAAAAAAAUAAACAGAAUAUCACAGAUUUUUAUGCCCUUUUUAUGAAAUCCUGGAUGCAUCCCUCAUAUCAACUAUUAGGCUCAUUGACAUAUUUUGAAUGAAAUUUUAAUAAACAUUGUAUAUUUUUACUUAAGUGUAGAAAAAUGUACUCAAUCCUUUAUUUUUUUAAAAUCUAAUUUAAUGCUUGUAGACUC